UUCCUCUCUGAUGAAGAGAGAACUUUAGAGAAGGGCUGUGUUUUCCCUUCCUUCCUUUUGGUCAUGUGAGAAUGUGAUGCUUGGAGCUUCUGUAACACUUGGUUCCAUGGAGCUACAGGAAGAGAAUUUAGAAACGCUUCGGGAGGACAUGGUUUCCAAGCUGCUCACCCACUGAGUCACGCAUCUCCAGACUUAGACUCUGGAGCCACUGGGAUUAUAGAAGAGCACAGCCGUGCGUGGCUGCACAGAAAUAUUUUAAACAGAUUACAGAACAGUACAUUUAGAGAACUUAAAAUCUGAAAUUCAGAGGUGGAAUGAGACCAAUAAAAUCUGUGUCAUGAGUUGAGAUGAGGGCCGAGGCUCGUGGAGAAAGGACCAGCUGAGGAACUCUCCUUCAGACUCUCUCCCAACCAGUGCAAUAUCUGCAGCACUUAUCCAUAAAAUGUGACAAUGACACAUAAGAGGGUAUCAGAAUUAAGGUGAAAAAGAACACAGAAGACAACGUUGAUUUUAAAUUCCUGGUUGUGAAACAUAGAAUGUCUCAUCAGAAUGGGGAAAGAGUUGCACCUGAGUAAUUACCUGGGAGAAAGGAGUCUGCCCCAACACACGGAUGUAUUUCUAUCUACAUACAUGUCAUUCGAGAACUGCUUAGGGUACAUGAGCGCUGACACAAGCAGAUGAAGACACUGCAGAAUGAUGCUGGGGAGUUAGUCUGAAAUAGCUUGAUGCCUUCCAGAUUCAACAAAAAGCUUACACCAAAGUAAGAGCAUCCAUUAUUUUAAAGAGAGGAAGGAAAGAGAUGGGAACAGUGAUUAAUCCCUUGGCCUUUAAAGAGUAGAUGUAUUCAUCUUGCAGUGGAGGGGAGAUUGGGAUGGAGACCAUUUCUGAUUGGACUUUUUUUUUCACUGUCUACUCAACCAUGGUUCAAUGCUAAUGUGUGCAUGUGUGUGUGUGUGUGUGUGUGUGU